CUGGUUUUUAUUCGGAAUCAUAAAUAUUAAUUGUCUUCAGCCAUUGGAACCACCAAACUAUCACAAUAUUGAUUCUUCACUGUUGAUUCCACCGACCACCACUGCUUCUUUUUCUAGGAGUACCACCAUUGCUUCUGGUUAUAAAAGCGGCGGCCUGACGCCUCCAUGGCCAACGAUGAGGUCCCUGCUGGCUGAUUUAGUACUCAAGAUAUAUACUUCAUCAUAAUUUUUUUGCCACUUAUAGUAUCCACAUAUAUUGGUUGUUUUGUGUGAGAGUGCUGCAUUUACAUAUUUUAUUAUGUGUAGUCACGAAGAUGCACAUGAGAGGUACUACAAAAAUAUUUAUGAAAAUAGAGAUGACGCCAAAGGUUGGGUGAGCAAGUGUCAUAUUCAGCAAGUUUAAAACUUAACAUGCAAGUUUUAAAAAAGUGAAAAGUUGAGACUAUUAAUUACGGAUUUUAUUAGCAUAUGAGUACUAGGUUCACUAUAAGAAAUUCUCUUAUACAUAACGGUUUAUUUUUGUCAUAGGCAAGAGAAAAUAUGUCACAGUUAACUCAUGGUGACGAUAGUAAAAAAACGUCAUAUAUCACAUGUCAUACAUUUGUUAGAGCAAAAUGAAGUCACGGAUUGGUUUUUUCAUUCGUCAUGGAUGAACUGGUCACAACAAUAACAAAGGGCAAU
rnacentral:lncRNA from 1 species